rnacentral:rRNA from 1 species
CCAGGAAAAGCCUCUAAGCUUCAGAUUGUAAGGAAUCGUACCCCAAACCGACACAGGUGGUCGGGUAGAGAAUACCAAGGCGCUUGAGAGAACUCGGGUGAAGGAACUAGGCAAAAUGGUACCGUAACUUCGGGAGAAGGUACGCUCUCGACGGUGAAGUCCCUCGCGGAUGGAGCUAUUGAGAGUCGCAGAUACCAGGUGGCUGCAACUGUUUAUUAAAAACACAGCACUGUGCAA